AGAGUUUGAUCAUGGCUCAGAACGAACGUUGGCGGCGUGGAUUAGGCAUGCAAGUCGAACGAAUCCCCGUUGGGUAACUGACGGGGGGAAGUGGCGAAAGGGGCAGUAAGGCGUGGGUAACCUACCCCGGGGACCGGGAUAGCCACCCUAACGGGUGGGUAAUACCGGGCGAUCUGGCGAGGAGGCAUCUCCUUGUCAGGAAAUGAAUCUCGCCUCGGGAGGGGCUCACGUAGUAUUAGCUUGUUGGUGGGGUAACGGCCCACCAAGGCCAAGAUGCUUAGCGGGUGUGAGAGCACGACCCGCGCCACUGGCACUGAGACACUGGCCAGACUCCUACGGGAGGCUGCAGUCGAGGAUCUUCGGCAAUGGGCGCAAGCCUGACCGAGCGACGCCGCGUGUGCGAUGAAGGCCUUCGGGUUGUAAAGCACUGUCGAGGGGGAGGAAAGCCCGCAAGGGUCUGACCUAUCCCUGGAGGAAGCACGGGCUAAGUUCGUGCCAGCCGCCGCGGUAAUUC
rnacentral:rRNA from 1 species